GCGUGGAGACAGGUGGUGCAUGGCUGUCGUCAGCUCGUGUCGUGAGAUGUUGGGUUAAGUCCCGCAACGAGCGCAACCCUCACCCCUAGUUGCCACCGGGUAAAGCCGAGCACUCGAGGGGAACUGCCAGCGUCAAGCUGGAGGAAGGCGGGGAUGACGUCAAGUCAUCAUGCCCCUUACGCCCUGGGCUACACACGUGCUACAAUGGCCGGUACAAAGGGACGCGAGACUGCAAAGUGGAGCUAAUCCCAAAAAACCGGUCUAAGUUCAGAUUGCAGUCUGCAACUCGACUGCAUGAAGGAGGAAUCGCUAGUAAUCGCGCAUCAGCACGGCGCGGUGAAUACGUUCCCGGGCCUUGUACACACCGCCCGUCACACCACGAAAGCUGUCUGUACUCGAAGUCGCUGAG
rnacentral:rRNA from 1 species